AAGUAAAUUACGAAAUCUAAUGUUCAUUGUGAAUUGUUCUUUGCGUAUUUGUGAAUCUGUGUUUGUUUUUGUGAAUCUUUAUGUUUGCAUCUGUGAAUCUCUGUGUGUCUUUGCCUUUAUUGAGCCUGAUGCGACCCCACAGUCCGUGUUCUUUAAGGUUGAGUCAACUCGAUACUUUAAAACAGUUCGUUCCAGUUUGGUUUGUUUUUGAUCUGAUGGAGAGAAUAAUGGAGGGAAAGACUCGUUGCUGCUAAUUGAGUCAAAGUGACACCUCCUCCCCACCCUGCUCACGCAAGGACACUGCAGCACCGUGGAUCGUGGGAACAGCUCGCACACAAAAUGAUGAGCUGAUAAACGAGCUGAACCUCGACUCAUGUAAUGCGUUUCAGACCACACUGCCCCCCCGUGAUCAAUACCACAAUACGAGGCGUUUCCCUCCGAGUGUCGUUGUUUGUUCUGUGUUCCAGGCAGAGAGAGACGGUUGGGGAAGACGAGCCGUACACGAGGAGCAACGGAGGAGCAGAAAGCCCAACAUGACAGAACGUGACCAGAGUUGGCCAUCAUCGAGUCAGCGACGUUACUGCCUGUCUUCAUCCCCCGGUCUGUCCUGCAGGCGGAUCACCGGAACAGGAAGUGCCGACUGAGGGACACAUGCUCCUUAUUAAAUCAUUAAAAAAAUAACUUCACAAUAUUGUGCAAUUGAUCAGAGUAAGCCAUUAUCAAUGGCGUGUUGUGCAUCUGCUUAAAAGCAUGCAAUACUAAUUACUGUUAUUUCCUGUUGUGAUGUACAAAAAUAAAUCAAAUACAACACACAUGUGUUCUUCUGAAUGG